GCAGAUUGGAAACAAUGAAACCUCAAAUUUGGAAUCUUCUGAAAUGCAAAUAGCAAGCCAAUUCUGGUCAAAGGAAAUGUUUAAUGGAGAUGGAGCCAGCAAUCUAGAUGAUAUCAUGACACAGCCAAAGGGAUUUUAUACAGAUUUGCUAUGGGAACAAAUCAGAAAUUCACAGGAAUAGGACAACAAUUCAGAGAUCUAUCUGAACCAAGGAGAAUCAUUGAUGGGACUUCUGAAUGCAAAUUUGGGAUAUGAGGUAAAAAACAUUGAAAAGGAUAAUGUCGU